GAGAGUGGGUAGUCCGUACGAGCGCACCUUGCUCCUUAGUUGCCAGCACGUAAUGGUGGGAACUCUAAGGAGACUGCCGGUGACAAACCGGAGGAAGGUGGGGACGACGUCAAGUCAUCAUGGCCCUUACGACCUGGGCUACACACGUGCUACAAUGGCCAGCACAGAGGGCUGCAAUCCCGCGAGGGGGAGCUAAUCCCAGAAAACUGGUCGUAGUCCGGAUCGCAGUCUGCAACUCGACUGCGUGAAGUUGGAAUCGCUAGUAAUCGUGAAUCAGAAUGUCGCGGUGAAUACGUUCCCGGGCCUUGUACACACCGCCCGUCACACCAUGGGAGUGGGUUGCAAAAGAAGUAGCUAGGCUAACCUUCGGGAGGCCGGUUACCACUUUGUGAUUCAUGACUGGGGUGAAGUCGUAACAAGGUAGCCCUAGGGGAACCUGGGGCUGGAUCACCUCCUU
rnacentral:rRNA from 1 species